ensembl:ncRNA C47G2.17 ncRNA
CCAUAUUCACGAACACAGGCUUGUUCGCAAGAAACAGGGCGCGCCAAGGCAUAUCGCCGCAGCCUUACACAACUGGAUUACUGUGUUGUUACCACUUUCCAAUCUCUAAUUAAUCAUUUUAAUCAGACACCCUC